rnacentral:rRNA from 1 species
UACGGGGGGAGCAAGCGUUGUUCGGAUUUACUGGGCGUAAAGGGCGCGUAGGCGGCACCGCAAGUCGACUGUGAAAUCUCCGGGCUUAACUCGGAAAGGUCAGCCGAUACUGCGGGGCUAGAGUGCAGAAGGGGCAACUGGAAUUCUCGGUGUAGCGGUGAAAUGCGCAGAUAUCGGGAGGAACACCGGUGGCGAAGGCGGUUCUCUGGGCCUUACCUGACGCUGAGGAGCGAAAGCGUGGGGAGCGAACAGG